ACUAAGGAUAUGCGAUUUUAGAAACAGAUUAUAUAUUUUUUUUUCUGAUGAUUUUUCGUAGGAAUCUCACUGAGCUUCAGUCAUUCGUUGCUUUGAAAUCAAUUUAUCUUUCUGAUUAUACCAAUAGUUAUACCAAAUUGCUUUUAUUCAUGUACCCAUCUAAUCAAAAUAUUCUCCAUAUUUGUUUCAGUUGUCCCAAAAUGGAGCCUUGGAGGUCAUCGUUUCCCGAAGAUUACCCAUAUGUGGUUGCUUGGAAUAUUUCCCAAAAGGUGUGUAGAGUUCAUGAUCCUGUUAAUUAGUAUAUUGUGAUGAUUUUUUGAGUAGGAAUCUCAUUGAGCUUCAGUCAUUCGUUGCUUUGAAAUAAGUUUGUCUCUUACUGAUAUGUUUAGUGAAUUAUUUAAAGACCCUGCGAGAAAUCUGAUGACUAAUCAAUGCUGUUUUCUCUUUUUUCAGAUGGUGGAACACGCACCACUUCUAUUCCUAUAUAAAUAUAGUUGUAGUUAAUUUGACAAUAAAACAAGCUAUUUUCUUAUAAUUAAAACCAUUGAACUUUUAA